rnacentral:rRNA from 1 species
UACGAAGGGGGCUAGCGUUGCUCGGAAUCACUGGGCGUAAAGCGCACGUAGGCGGCUUGUUAAGUCAGGGGUGAAAUCCUGGAGCUCAACUCCAGAACUGCCUUUGAUACUGGCAGGCUUGGAGUCCGGGAGAGGUGAGUGGAACUGCGAGUGUAGAGGUGAAAUUCGUAGAUAUUCGCAAGAACACCAGUGGCGAAGGCGGCUCACUGGCCCGGUACUGACGCUGAGGUGCGAAAGCGUGGGGAGCAAACAGG